AUGAAGAUGUUCAAAAAGUAAUUGUGAUGAAUGCACAGCUAUGUAAUGGUGCUGUGAAUAGUUGUACACUUUUGAAUUAAAAACAACAACAACAACAACAAAACCACCCACCUAGCCAGGUUAUCCUGAGACUCAAACAAAGGGCGAAAAGCACUUUGCUUCCUUCUCAAAUCCUGUGAGAAGAGCGUAACUGAAAGCCCGGCCUUGGUUUCUGCGUGUCACGCGGUCCGCAGGGAGCGGUGCGCGCCGCCUCUCGCGGAGCGGCACUUACCUCGCCGCGUGUUUACUUUCAAAAGGCGCCGCCAGCAGCCCGGGGGACGCCACACGCGCCUCCUCUCGCCGCCAGCACUGGCCUCGGCGGCGGCGGGAGAGGCCGGACCGGCCCGCUCUGCACCGACAGAGCCCCCCUCCCGGACGCAUCAUGAGGGUACUUCACCGUUUACAGAGCUCCUUUCCUUUCAUUCCUCAUUGAGACAUCAGAUGACGUUUAUGACAUUAACAAAAAACAGGACUAU